CUUGGGUAGGGGAGCGUUGUAUGCGGGUUGAAGUCGCACCGGAAGGAGCGGUGGACUGCAUACAAGUGAGAAUGCCGGUAUGAGUAACGAAAAGACAAGUGAGAAUCUUGUCCGCCGAAAGCCUAAGGGUUCCUGGGGAAGGUUCGUCCGCCCAGGGUAAGUCGGGACCUAAGGCGAGGCCGAAAGGCGUAGUCGAAGGACAACAGGUUGAAAUUCCUGUACCACCGUAAGCCGUUACGAGCGAUGGGGGGACGCAGGAGGGCAAGGACGCGAGCUGAUGGAAUAGCUCGUCCAAGCAGUAAGAGGUGCAUGUAGGCAAAUCCGCAUGCUGUAACCUUGAGCUGUGAUGGGGAGGGAAAAUUGCAGUACCGAAGGUCUUGUGCUCACGCUGCCGAGAAAAGCCUCUAGCCAGGCGAAGGUGCCCGUACCGCAAACCGACACAGGUAGGCGAGAUGAAAAUUCUAAGGCGCGCGGAAGAACUCUCGUUAAGGAACUCGGCAAAAUGACCCCGUAACUUCGGGAGAAGGGGUGCCCCGGUAAGGUGAAUAGCCUGAGGGGGCCGCAGUGAAGAGGCCCAAGCGACUGUUUAGCAAAAACACAGGUCUGUGCGAAGCCGCAAGGCGAAGUAUACGGGCUGACGCCUGCCCGGUGCUGGAAGGUUAAGGGGAGCGGUUAGGGUUAAACCGAAGCUGUGAACCGAAGCCCCAGUAAACGGCGGCCGUAACUAUAACGGUCCUAAGGUAGCGAAAUUCCUUGUCAGGUAAAUUCUGACCCGCACGAAUGGCGUAACGAUCUUGGGCGCUGUCUCAACGAGAGAUCCGGUGAAAUUUUAGUACCUGUGAAGAUGCAGGUUACCCGCGACGUGACGGAAAGACCCCAUGGAGCUUUACUGCAGCUUGAUAUUGGACUUUGGUACGGUCUGUACAGGAUAGGUGGGAGCCUAAGAAGCCUGAGCGCCAGCUUAGGUGGAGGCGGCGUUGGGAUACCACCCUGAUCGUAUCGGAGUUCUAACCUGUCACCGUGAAUCCGGUGAAGGGACCGUGUCAGGCGGGCAGUUUGACUGGGGCGGUCGCCUCCUAAAAAGUAACGGAGGCGCCCCAAGGUUCCCUCAGCGCGGUUGGAAAUCGCGCGAAGAGUGCAAAGGCAUAAGGGAGCUUGACUGCGAGACCUACAAGUCGAGCAGGGACGAAAGUCGGGCUUAGUGAUCCGGUGGUACCGAAUGGAAGGGCCAUCGCUCAACGGAUAAAAGCUACCCUGGGGAUAACAGGCUUAUCUCCCCCAAGAGUCCACAUCGACGGGGAGGUUUGGCACCUCGAUGUCGGCUCAUCGCAUCCUGGGGCUGAAGUAGGUCCCAAGGGUUGGGCUGUUCGCCCAUUAAAGCGGUACGCGAGCUGGGUUCAGAACGUCGUGAGACAGUUCGGUCCCUAUCUGUCGCGGGCGUAGGAAAUUUGAGAGGGGCUGUCCUUAGUACGAGAGGACCGGGAUGGACGCACCGCUGGUGUACCAGUUGUUCCGCCAGGAGCACCGCUGGGUAGCCAAGUGCGGGAGGGAUAAGCGCUGAAAGCAUCUAAGCGCGAAGCCCGCCUCAAGAUGAGAUUUCCCAAUUUAGUAAGACCCCUGGAAGAACACCAGGUUGAUAGGCUCGGGGUGGAAGCGCGGCAACG
rnacentral:rRNA from 1 species